AGGGCUGCGGAUGGAUCAUUUC
rnacentral:rRNA from 1 species